rnacentral:rRNA from 1 species
AGUGAACGCUGGCGGUAGGCCUAACACAUGCGAGUCGAACGGCAGCACAGUAAGAGCUUGCCCUUACGGGUGGCGAGUGGCGGACGGGUGAGGAAUACAUCGGAAUCUACUUUUUCGUGGGGGAUAACGUAGGGAAACUUACGCUAAUACCGCAUACGACCUACGGGUGAGAGCAGGGGAUCUUCGGACCUUGCGCGAUUGAAUGAGCCGAUGUCGGAUUAGCUAGGUGGCGGGGUAAAGGCCCACCAAGGCGACGAUCCGUAGCUGGUCUGAGAGGAUGAUCAGCCACACUGGAACUGAGACACUGUCCAGACUCCUACGGGAGGCAGCAGUGGGGAAUCUUGGACAAUGGGCGCAAGCCUGACCCAGCCAUACCGCGUGGGUGAAGAAGGCCUUCGGGUUGUAAAGCCCUUUUGUUGGGAAAGAAAAGCAGCAGGUUAAUACCCCGCUGUUCUGACGGUACCCAAAGAAUAAGCACCGGCUAACUUCGUG